rnacentral:lncRNA from 1 species
UCACUAUAAAUUGGCUGGGGCACUGGUGUUCGAUGAAUUCAGAAAGAGUUUUCAAUUUUAUCUCUGUUACUCUCUUUUCUUUCUUACAACCUAUCUUAGUUUUAGGACAAGGCUUUGGGAUUUAAGACAAAGCCUUAUCUGGUCCGAACAAAGGUUGUGAGGGUCCUAAAAAAGGAGGAUUAAAAAUUUAGAGGAGGUUCUG